CCCCUCUCAGGGUCACAGCUGGAGUGUUUCCAGAACUCUACCAGUUUCCACUAUAGGAGGGAGAGUGGAGCAGAGGCCUACCCAUUCCAUUCCUAGUUUGGGCUGUAGCUAGUGAGUGGAAGGCAAUCUGCUGCAAGU